rnacentral:sRNA from 1 species
GCCUCCCGACAGGCCUGUGCGGCCGGUGGCGGGCGGGCCGUUACCUCCCGCGCAUGCUCUAUGGGGUAGAGACGCUAGGCCGGCACUGCCAAGGUGGGCCGGGCGGUGCGAGGGUCGCCUUUCAGCCUUUACCUCUACCCACUGAAAUGGAGUAGGUCGGUGAGCGCCGAUCUGCUGGAGAAUCUCAUUAUCCCAUCGGCGCUCUGCCUGCUCCUGGCCUCCAAGCCUCUGAAGCCCCUCGGGUUUCAGCUGCCGGCUACCCUCGAGCCCGUGGUGCCCACGAGAGAGGCGACUUUACGUCAGCGGCCCUGGGCUGAGAUUUGAGAACGCGACCAAGUGGAGAAUGUUGGAGCCAGAUUUUAAAAUCCUUGUCUUCCUUCUGCUUGCUACUUGAUCUAAAUGAGAUACGGCAAAGUCACAGAACCUGUUUUUAUGUUUUUGCCUGAUUCAUACGGGCUUCUCCGGUGAAGAUGGGCCUGAAGUAACGCUUGGGUUGCUUCUGACGUUAUAACUCAUCCUGUAGCUGCAGCAACCGUGGUCCUUGCAACCUCAUAAAAAUGUUGCCAGCAUUGUUUCGAUAGUGCUGCUUAAUUCUUGGAAGGUUCUUCGGACUUCACACAUUCCAGCAGUAGCUCUCUCAGCUCCUGUCCUGCACAGCUUUGAAGUGCUGGUGAUGUCAUUGAACUCUUAAGUGCAAGAUGAAACAAGUCUUUCUGGGGUUCUAAGUAGUUAACCAACAGGACACAGCCCUGGUGAUGGCUUUCUGAGGAUGACACGAUGGAGGCUUCUCCAAUAGCUCUAAAACUGCGGUGUGGAAAACAUUCGGCAGCCUCAAAGAGCGGUCUUGUUGACCCCAACUAUAUCAUUUUUCAUCAAAAUCAUUCUUGUAAAGAAUGACCAGGCAACACUCUUUGAAAAUUGGAGGCCAUUUGCAGCUGCUCUCUGUUGAGGAAAGUGAAUAAUAGGGUGCCCUCAAGGAAUUGCAAAGGUAUCACUCAACAGAAACUUUCGUGUCUGAAGAAAACUAGAUCAUUUUAUCAUGGUAGGCAUGCUGAUAUGUUUGCUUUAAUAAAAUGCCAUAUUUCUGCCUUUAAUCUCUUGUCAACCCGCUAUUAAAAAGCCCCAAAGUGCAUGUGUGCAGCGCAUGUAAACACUUGUGGUUUUGAGGUUACCACAGAACAUACUAAUAAAGCAUGUAAUUUGUGUUUUGUGCA